AUACUCUAGUUCUUUUCGGAUCAAAUAAAGCUUUCGCCUUUACUAAAGAUUUCCGUGGAGAAGGUCAUCCAUGAGUUGUCACAAAAUACUUGCCCCUUGCGGGCUAAGUCAUGG